AUACCUUUCUCGGCCUUUUGGCUAAGAUCAAGUGUAGUAUCUGUUCUUAUCAGUUUAAUAUCUGAUACGUGGGACAUCGUCCCACAUGAUAUUAAAUUUAUUUUUUUAGGGGGAGGUCUCACCACAAUAGCUUGCUAUUGGAGUCCUCGCGCGUCGCCCUGGCGUUGCACUACUGCCUGGGCCUGGCGUACCCCUC
rfam:Vitis vinifera, whole genome shotgun sequence of line PN40024, unoriented chromosome 2, chr2